AGCAUAUGCCCCUUUGCCCUUCCAGACUCCAAAGUGCUAUAUUACUGCUGUUUGUCUCUCUUGAGCCACCGUAACUGCAUCGCUUUAACACUUCAUCAAAAUAGUAUGAAUUAAUCGAAGAUAAAUCAUAUACAGUAUAUCAUUUUACGGGUUUUUUUCUGAGGAGGUCUUAGUUGCGCAAUUUUACAUCUAACCAAGAUGUUUGGUGCAGUAUUUCUCAAGUGACAAAAUGUGCAUGAAAACUAGUCGUCUCUCGUUGAAUGACAAACUUUGUUGAAGACUCCUUCCCCUAAUUCCCACUUCUACUAGGAGUAGUACUGCUAACCAAUCUCUUAUGAAGAGGCGGUAGACUCAAGAAAACUUGCCUCAAGAAAAACAGACGGGUGCAACUUUGCUUAACUGAGCUCAAGGCUAGAAAUCAACACAUCUGAAGAAAUAUAAAUGAAAAUGAAAGAUGCCAUCUCUUCUAGAAAGAGCCCAGAUGUUACAUCAUCCCGACAACCCUCAGGUUUGACUCAAAAGAGAGCUUCCUGUAUCAAGCCAUGCGUUCAGCAGUUGACAAG
ensembl:lncRNA